rnacentral:rRNA from 1 species
UACGUAGGGUGCAAGCGUUGUCCGGAAUUAUUGGGCGUAAAGAGCUCGUAGGCGGUUUGUCGCGUCUGCUGUGAAACCCGAGGCUCAACCUCGGGCCUGCAGUGGGUACGGGCAGACUAGAGUGCGGUAGGGGAGAUUGGAAUUCCUGGUGUAGCGGUGGAGUGCGCAGAUAUCAGGAGGAACACCAAUGGCGAAGGCAGAUCUCUGGGCCGUAAACUGACGCUGAGGAGCGAAAAGCAUGGGGAGCGAACAGG